AUGGAACCGGCGAGAUUAUUUAUUGUUUUUGCUGGAACCUUUAUUUUUUUUCUUGGUAGAACAAAUUUUGGUUUUUUGCUGGAACCGGUGUUUUUUUUGCUACAUCAGGCUGAUUGUUUUGCUCCAAUAGAUUACUGGAGUUUUUGUUUUGCUUUUGUUGCUGAUUUUAUUUUUGCUAUAAUCGGCAUGGGGAAAGCUUCAACCGUGAAGAAAAGCACCAACCAGAGAGAGUGGGGAAAAGCUUGGAUCCGGCGAGGACCGGUGCUGCGAGGACGGCAAGCCGGCCGGGCUUCGAAGUCAGCGGCAGGGGCGGCCAUCGUGGGCUGCAUGAGUGAGGCGAGGAUGUGCUGGAGAUUCUCUUUUUUGUUUUGUUUCCACAUGAUGUAUCAGAGAAGAAAGGAGAAAGGGGACCAAAUCUGA
rnacentral:rRNA from 1 species